rnacentral:rRNA from 1 species
GACGAACGCUGGCGGCGUGCUUAACACAUGCAAGUCGAACGGAAAGGCCCUGCUUUUGUGGGGUGCUCGAGUGGCGAACGGGUGAGUAACACGUGAGUAACCUGCCCUUGACUUUGGGAUAACUUCAGGAAACUGGGGCUAAUACCGGAUAGGAGCUCCUGCUGCAUGGUGGGGGUUGGAAAGUUUCGGCGGUUGGGGAUGGACUCGCGGCUUAUCAGCUUGUUGGUGGGGUAGUGGCUUACCAAGGCUUUGACGGGUAGCCGGCCUGAGAGGGUGACCGGCCACAUUGGGACUGAGAUACGGCCCAGACUCCUACGGGAGGCAGCAGUGGGGAAUAUUGCACAAUGGGCGGAAGCCUGAUGCAGCAACGCCGCGUGCGGGAUGACGGCCUUCGGGUUGUAAACCGCUUUCGCCUGUGACGAAGCGUGAGUGACGGUAAUGGGUAAAGAAGCACCGGCUAACUACGUGCCAGCAGCCGCGGUGAUACGUAGGGUGCGAGCGUUGUCCGGAUUUAUUGGGCGUAAAGGGCUCGUAGGUGGUUGAUCGCGUCGGAAGUGUAAUCUUGGGGCUUAACCCUGAGCGUGCUUUCGAUACGGGUUGACUUGAGGAAGGUAGGGGAGAAUGGAAUUCCUGGUGGAGCGGUGGAAUGCGCAGAUAUCAGGAGGAACACCAGUGGCGAAGGCGGUUCUCUGGGCCUUUCCUGACGCUGAGGAGCGAAAGCGUGGGGAGCGAACAGGCUUAGAUACCCUGGUAGUCCACGCUGUAAACGGUGGGUACUAGGUGUGGGGUCCAUUCCACGGGUUCCGUGCCGUAGCUAACGCUUUAAGUACCCCGCCUGGGGAGUACGGCCGCAAGGCUAAAACUCAAAGGAAUUGACGGGGCCCCGCACAAGCGGCGGAGCAUGCGGAUUAAUUCGAUGCAACGCGUAGAACCUUACCUGGGUUUGACAUGGAUCGGGAGUGCUCAGAGAUGGGUGUGCCUCUUUUGGGGUCGGUUCACAGGUGGUGCAUGGCUGUCGUCAGCUCGUGUCGUGAGAUGUUGGGUUAAGUCCCGCAACGAGCGCAACCCUUGUUCACUGUUGCCAGCACGUUAUGGUGGGGACUCAGUGGAGACCGCCGGGGUCAACUCGGAGGAAGGUGGGGAUGACGUCAAGUCAUCAUGCCCCUUAUGUCCAGGGCUUCACGCAUGCUACAAUGGCUGGUACAGAGAGUGGCGAGCCUGUGAGGGUGAGCGAAUCUCGGAAAGCCGGUCUUAGUUCGGAUUGGGGUCUGCAACUCGACCUCAUGAAGUCGGAGUCGCUAGUAAUCGCAGAUCAGCAACGCUGCGGUGAAUACGUUCCCGGG